AUCUCGUGGUGAGGACAACUACGAAGUAACUCAUUAAAUCUUUCUCAUGCAUCAUAUAGGGACUCAUCAUCCAUCUGCUGAAAAGUGGUGAUCUUGUUCUGUAACU
rnacentral:snoRNA from 1 species